UGGGGAAUAUUGCACAAUGGGCGCAAGCCUGAUGCAGCAACGCCGCGUGGGUGAUGAAGGCCCUUGGGUUGUAAAGCCCUUUCGGUCGGGAAAUAGGGCGUACUGGCUAAUAUCCAGUGCGUUUGAUGGUACCGAAAGAAGAAGCACCGGCUAACUUCGUGCCAGCAGCCGCGGUAAUACGAAGGGUGCAAGCGUUGUUCGGAAUGACUGGGCGUAAAGGGUUCGUAGGCGGGAAUGUAAGUUAAGUGUGAAAUCCCUGGGCUUAACCCAGGACGUGCACUUAAAACUGUGUUUCUUGAGUACUGGAGGGGGUUGGGGAAUUGCUGGUGUAGGAGUGACAUCCGUAGAGAUCAGCAGGAACACCGGAGGCGAAGGCGCCAACCUGGACAGAUACUGACGC
rnacentral:rRNA from 1 species